UACGUAGGGCGCAAGCGUUGUCCGGAAUUAUUGGGCGUAAAGAGCUCGUAGGCGGUCUGUCACGUCUGCCGUGAAAACCCGAGGCUUAACCUCGUGGCUUGCGGUGGAUACGGGCAGACUAGAGGUAGGUAGGGGAGAAUGGAAUUCCCGGUGUAGCGGUGAAAUGCGCAGAUAUCGGGAGGAACACCGGUGGCGAAGGCGGUUCUCUGGGCCUGACCUGACGCUGAGGAGCGAAAGCGUGGGGAGCGAACAGG
rnacentral:rRNA from 1 species